ensembl:snoRNA small nucleolar RNA SNORA18
UCUGAGGUCUAUCCCGAUGGGCUCCACAUUAUGAGACCUUGUCGUUGGAAAUACCUCGUAGAAAAACCUGCAGUUUCGCUUUACCCUCAGAGUUAUUACCGUUAGCUCUGUGGGAUAAAAGUGCAGAACAAGU